rnacentral:rRNA from 1 species
AGUCAAGUAAUUAAGUGCAUGUGGUGGAUGCCUUGGCAGUCAGAGGCGAUGAAAGACGUGAUAGCCUGCGAAAAGCUCCGGGGAGGCGGCAAAUAUCCUUUGAUCCGGAGAUGUCUGAAUGGGGGAACCCACCUACUUUAAGGUAGGUAUUGCAACAUGAAUACAUAGUGUUGCAAGGCGAACGAGGGGAAGUGAAACAUCUCAGUACCCUUAGGAAAAGAAAUCAAUUGAGAUUCCCUCAGUAGCGGCGAGCGAACGGGGAUCAGCCCAUUAAGUUAUGUGUGUUUUAGUGGAACGCUCUGGGAAGUGCGAACGUAGAGGGUGAUAUUCCCGUACACGAAAGGGCACACAUAAUGAUGACGAGUAGGGCGAGGCACGUGAAACCUUGUCUGAAUAUGGGGGGACCAUCCUCCAAGGCUAAAUACUCCUGACUGACCGAUAGUGAACCAGUACCGUGAGGGAAAGGCGAAAAGAACCCCUGUGAGGGGAGUGAAAUAGAUCCUGAAACCGCAUGCAUACAAGCAGUGGGAGCACCUUCGUGGUGUGACUGCGUACCUUUUGUAUAAUGGGUCAGCGACUUAUAUUCAGUAGCGAGGUUAACCGUAUAGGGGAGCCGUAGAGAAAUCGAGUCUUAAUAGGGCGUUUAGUUGCUGGGUAUAGACCCGAAACCAGGCGAUCUAUCCAUGAGCAGGUUGAAGGUUGGGUAACACUAACUGGAGGACCGAACCCACUGUCGUUGAAAAGCCAGGGGAUGACUUGUGGAUAGGGGUGAAAGGCUAAUCAAGCCUGGUGAUAGCUGGUUCUCCCCGAAAGCUAUUUAGGUAGCGCCUCGGACGAAUACCAUAGGGGGUAGAGCACUGUUUCGGCUAGGGGGUCAUCCCGACUUACCAAACCGAUGCAAACUCCGAAUACCUAUGAGUACUAUCCGGGAGACAGACUGCGGGUGCUAACGUCCGUAGUCAAGAGGAAAACAAUCCAGACCGCCAGCUAAGGCCCCAAAAUCAUAGUUAAGUGGGAAACGAUGUGGGAAGGCAUAGACAGCUAGGAGGUUGGCUUAGAAGCAGCCACCCUUUAAAGAAAGCGUAAUAGCUCACUAGUCGAGUCGGCCUGCGCGGAAGAUGUAACGGGGCUAAAACUAUGUGCCGAAGCUGCGGAUUUGACAUUAGUAACGUGGUAGGGGAGCGUUCUGUAAGCCGAUGAAGGUGUAUUGAGAAGCAUGCUGGAGGUAUCAGAAGUGCGAAUGCUGACGUGAGUAACGACAAAACGGGUGAAAAACCCGUUCGCCGAAAGACCAAGGGUUCCAGUCCAACGUUAAUCGGGGCUGGGUGAGUCGACCCCUAAGGCGAGGCCGAAAGGCGUAGUCGAUGGGAAAAUGGUUAAUAUUCCAUUACUUCUGUGUAAUGCGAUGAGAGGACGGAGAAGGCUAAAUCAGCCUGGCGUUGGUUGUCCAGGUGAAAGGAUGUAGGCAUGUAUCUUAGGCAAAUCCGGGGUACUCUAUGCUGAGAUCUGAUAGCAAGCUGUACUUGUACAGCGAAGUGGUUGAUGCCAUGCUUCCAGGAAAAGUCUCUAAGCUUCAGUUACACAGGAAUCGUACCCGAAACCGACACAGGUGGUCAGGUCGAGUAGACCAAGGCGCUUGAGAGAACUCUGCUGAAGGAACUAGGCAAAAUGGUACCGUAACUUCGGGAGAAGGUACGCUGUUGUUGGUGAUGGAACUCGCUUCCUGAGCUGACGACAGCCGCAGAAACCAGGCCGCUGCAACUGUUUAUUAAAAACAUAGCACUCUGCAAACACGAAAGUGGACGUAUAGGGUGUGAUGCCUGCCCGGUGCUGGAAGGUUAAUUGAUGGGGUUAGCGUAAGCGAAGCUCUUGAUCGAAGCCCCAGUAAACGGCGGCCGUAACUAUAACGGUCCUAAGGUAGCGAAAUUCCUUGUCGGGUAAGUUCCGACCUGCACGAAUGGCAUAAUGAUGGCGGCGCUGUCUCCAGCAGAGGCUCAGUGAAAUCGAAAUCGCUGUGAAGAUGCAGUGUACCCGCGGCUAGACGGAAAGACCCCGUGAACCUUUACUGCAGCUUGACACUGAACUUUGACCUUACUUGUGUAGGAUAGGUGGGAGGCUUUGAAGCUGGAACGCUAGUUCCAGUGGAGCCGUCCUUGAAAUACCACCCUGGUAAUGUUGAGGUUCUAACUCUGUCCCGUGAUCCGGGACGAGGACCGUGUCUGGUGGGUAGUUUGACUGGGGCGGUCUCCUCCUAAAGAGUAACGGAGGAGUACGAAGGUGCGCUCAGCGUGGUCGGAAAUCACGCGUAGAGUAUAAAGGCAAAAGCGCGCUUAACUGCGAGACCCACAAGUCGAGCAGGUACGAAAGUAGGUCUUAGUGAUCCGGUGGUUCUGUAUGGAAGGGCCAUCGCUCAACGGAUAAAAGGUACUCUGGGGAUAACAGGCUGAUACCGCCCAAGAGUUCAUAUCGACGGCGGUGUUUGGCACCUCGAUGUCGGCUCAUCUCAUCCUGGGGCUGAAGCAGGUCCCAAGGGUAUGGCUGUUCGCCAUUUAAAGAGGUACGCGAGCUGGGUUUAGAACGUCGUGAGACAGUUCGGUCCCUAUCUACCGUGGGCGCUGGAAAUUUGAGAGGAUCUGCUCCUAGUACGAGAGGACCAGAGUGGACGAACCUCUGGUGUACCGGUUGUGACGCCAGUCGCAUCGCCGGGUAGCUAUGUUCGGAAGGGAUAACCGCUGAAAGCAUCUAAGCGGGAAGCCUACCUCAAGAUAAGAUUUCCCUAGGACUUUAUGUCCUCUAAAGAGCCGUUCGAGACUAGGACGUUGAUAGGUUGGAUGUGGAAGCAUAGUGAUAUGUGAAGCUGACCAAUACUAAUUGCUCGUGAGGCUUGACUAU